ensembl:miRNA mir22b microRNA 22b
CGUUCUUCACUGGCUAGCUUUAUGUCUCCCUCCCCACCGUAAAGCUGCCAGUUGAAGAGCUGU